UAUUGGUCAAUGGGCGGGAGCCUGAACCAGCCAAGUCGCGUGAGGGAGUAAGGCCCUACGGGUCGUAAACCUCUUUUGCCGGGGAGCAGGGCGGCGGACGUGUCCGCCGUUUGAGAGUACCCGGAGAAAAAGCAUCGGCUAACUCCGUGCCAGCAGCCGCGGUAAUACGGAGGAUGCGAGCGUUAUCCGGAUUUAUUGGGUUUAAAGGGUGCGUAGGUGGGCAUUUAAGCCGGCGGUCAAAUGUCGGGGCUCAACCCCGGCCUGCCGUCGGAACUGGGUGCCUUGAGUGGGCGAGAAGUAUGCGGAAUGCGUGGUGUAGCGGUGAAAUGCAUAGAUAUCACGCAGAACCCCGAUUGCGAAGGCAGCAUACCGGCGCCCUACUGACGCUGAGGCACGAAAGUGCGGGUAUCG
rnacentral:rRNA from 1 species